GGGGAUUUAGCUCAGCGGCAUAAGCGCCUGUCUUGUAAGCAGGCAGUCGUGAGUUCAAUCCCCG
rnacentral:tRNA from 1 species